CCUACGGGUGGCAGCAGUGGGGAAUAUUGCGCAAUGGGCGAAAGCCUGACGCAGCGACGCCGCGUGAGGGAUGAAGGUCUUCGGAUCGUAAACCUCUGUCAGCAGGGAAGAACGGUCACUGUGCUAAUCAGCAGUGAAUUGACGGUACCUGCAAAGGAAGCACCGGCUAACUCCGUGCCAGCAGCCGCGGUAAUACGGAGGGUGCGAGCGUUAAUCGGAAUUACUGGGCGUAAAGCGCUCGUAGGCGGUAUGUCAAGUCAAGGGUGAAAUCCCCGCGCUCAACGUGGGAACUGCCUUUGAAACUGGCAGACUGGAGUGGGUGAGAGGAUAGUGGAAUGCCUGGUGUAGGGGUGAAAUCCGUAGAUAUCUGGAGGAACAUCAGUGGCGAAGGCGACUAUCUGGCACAUAACUGACGCUGAGGAGCGAAAGCGUGGGUAGCAAACAGGAUUAGAUACCCCAGUAGUC
rnacentral:rRNA from 1 species